AUUGAACGCUGGCGGCAGGCCUAACACAUGCAAGUCGAACGGUAACAGGAAGCAGCUUGCUGCUUUGCUGACGAGUGGCGGACGGGUGAGUAAUGUCUGGGAAACUGCCCGAUGGAGGGGGAUAACUACUGGAAACGGUAGCUAAUACCGCAUAACGUCGCAAGACCAAAGAGGGGGACCUUAGGGCCUCUUGCCAUCGGAUGUGCCCAGAUGGGAUUGGCUAGUAGGUGGGGUAACGGCUCACCUAGUCGGCGAUCCCUAGCUGGUCUGAGGGGAUGACCAGCCACACUGGAACUGAGACAGGGUCAAGGCUCCUACGGGAGGCAGCAGUGGGGAAUAGUGCGCAGCGGGCGCAAGCCUUAUGCAGCGGGGCCGCGUGUAUGAAGAAGGCCUUCGGGUUGUGAAGUACGUUCAGCGGGGAGGAAGGGAGUAAGGUUAAGACCAUUGCUCAUUGACGUUACCGGGAAAAGAAGCACCGGCUAACUCCGUG
rnacentral:rRNA from 1 species